UACGUAGGUGGCAAGCGUUGUCCGGAAUUAUUGGGCGUAAAGAGCUUGUAGGCGGUCUGUCGCGUCUGCUGUGAAAAUCCGGGGCUCAACCCCGGACUUGCAGUGGGUACGGGCAGACUAGAGUGUGGUAGGGGAGACUGGAAUUCCUGGUGUAGCGGUGAAAUGCGCAGAUAUCAGGAGGAACACCGAUGGCGAAGGCAGGUCUCUGGGCCACUACUGACGCUGAGAAGCGAAAGCAUGGGGAGCGAACAGGA
rnacentral:rRNA from 1 species